AGUGAACGCUGGCGGUAGGCCUAACACAUGCAAGUCGAACGGCAGCACAGUAAGAGCUUGCUCUUACGGGUGGCGAGUGGCGGACGGGUGAGGAAUACAUCGGAAUCUACUUUUUCGUGGGGGAUAACGUAGGGAAACUUACGCUAAUACCGCAUACGACCUACGGGUGAAAGCAGGGGAUCUUCGGACCUUGCGCGAUUGAAUGAGCCGAUGUCGGAUUAGCUAGUUGGCGGGGUAAAGGCCCACCAAGGCGACGAUCCGUAGCUGGUCUGAGAGGAUGAUCAGCCACAGUGGAACUGAGACACGGUCCAGACUCCUACGGGAGGCAGCAGUGGGGAAUAUUGGACAAUGGGCGCAAGCCUGAACCAGCCAUACCGCGUGGGUGAAGAAGGCCUUCGGGUUGUAAAGCCCUUUUGUUGGGAAAGAAAAGCAGCAGGUUAAUACCCCGCUGUUCUGACGGUACCCAAAGAAUAAGCACCGGCUAACUUCGU
rnacentral:rRNA from 1 species